rnacentral:rRNA from 1 species
AAUGAACGCUGGCGGCGUGCCUAAUACAUGCAAGUCGAGCGAACGGACAAGGAGCUUGCUCUUCUGACGUUAGCGGCGGACGGGUGAGUAACACGUGGAUCACCUACCUAUAAUACUUGGAGAACUUCGGGAAAACGGUGACACUACUAGCUCAUAUGUUGUACCGCAGAGUUCAAGAGUGCAACACAGUUUUGCUGUCACAUUUAGAUGGAUCCGCGCCGCAUUAGCUAGUUGGUAAGGUAACGGCUUACCAAGGCAACGAUGCGUAGCCGACCUGAGAGGGUGAUCGGCCACACUGGAACUGAGACACGGUCCAGACUCCUACGGGAGGCAGCAGUAGGGAAUCUUCCGCAAUGGGCGAAAGCCUGACGGAGCAACGCCGCGUGAGUGAUGAAGGUCUUCGGAUCGUAAAACUCUGUUAUUAGGGAAGAACAAAUGUGUAAGUAACUAUGCACGUCUUGACGGUACCUAAUCAGAAAGCCACGGCUAACUACGUG